UUCGCGUGGGUAGAGAGAGAAACUGUGCGAGUCGAAAGGCGUGUACUGUGUGUAGAGAAAGAACCUUGGCCUCCGCCGUACGUGAACCUAAUGCGAGAGUAUAAGCGAGAUGGGGGACGAUUUGGCGUCAACCGUUGCAAGUAGAGUUGAGAAACUGGGAGCGCGCGCUACAAGUUCAAGCCCAUUCUUUUGCAGAGGGAGGAGAGAGAGAACGGAGCUAGAGAUUUAGCCCGUUUCAGUGCUCUUUCUAAUGGCCUCUGCCACUUCAAACCCAUACACAGAUGAUGUGAGCCUUCUGAUAGUCCUAAUGGACACCAAUCCUUAUUUCUGGGGUGCUAUGAACGGUGCUGCUGCUUUCUCUCAAUUCCUAAACCAGGUCCUGCCAUUUUUGAACUCGAUCCUUCUGCUAAACCAACUCAACCAGCUUGUUGUCAUUGCAACUGGAGUUAACUCCUGUGACUAUUUGUAUGAUUCUUCGAGGGUUGGCCAUGAGAGUGAGAAGAGGUCUACAAAGGGGAUUCCUGGUCAUUCUUUGGAGAUUCUACAAAAACUUGAAGAUUUUAUUGCUAAGGACCAGCAGUUGAGCAAUAGCGAUGAGGCUCCUGGAAAGAUAUGUUCUCUCUUGUCGGGUUCCUUGUCCUUGGCUCUGUGUUAUAUCCAGAGAAUCUUGCGAACUGGACCUGUUCAUCCACAGCCCAGGAUUUUGUGCUUGCAAGCAUCACCUGAUGGAUCAGAGCAAUAUGUUGCCAUCAUGAAUGCGAUAUUUUCAGCUCAGCGUUCCAUGGUCCCAAUAGAUUCAUGUGUUGUAGGAAGUGAGGAUUCUGCUUUCUUACAGCAGGUGAUGCAAAUGGAAUUUUUAGAGGCGUCUUAUAUAACAGGAGGUGUUUAUCAGAAGCCUCAACAUCUAGAUGGACUUUUUCAAUGUUUGUCGAUGGUCUUUGCAACUGAUUUGCAUUCUCGGAGAUUUUUGAAACUUCCUACUCCAACUGGAGUUGAUUUCCGUGCCUCAUGUUUUUGUCAUAAGGAGCCAAUUGGCAUGGGCUAUGUAUGUUCAGUUUGCUUGUCGAUAUUCUGCAAGUAUCAUACGAAAUGCUCAACUUGUGGGUGUAUAAAUAACAGCAGGUCCAUAUACAAACCUCUCCAUGUAAGAUAUGGUAUUCCUUGAUAAAGAGAGCAUGUUUAUUUGACCCAAUGCAAUAGUCUCCCAAGUUUUCGCCAUACGACUUGUCUUGCCAUGACCAUUUCUUGGAUUCUCAAUACUGCUGUCACUCCAUCCCUGCAGGGACAGAGAACCCGUCGCUGUCUUGUCCAUGCUAUCAGAGGCUUUGGGGAAGUAGGAAUAGGAGAGCACUCGUGGGGCACGUAGAAUCCUGUGUGAAUCAGCAAGGACCACCUUGUGAGGCUAAAUACUCAUGGGUGACCGAUAGCGGAGUAGUACCGUGUGGGAAAGGUGAAAAGAAACCCUAUCGGGGAGUGAAAUAGAACAUGAAACCGUGAGCUCCCAAGCAUAUUGUCUAGAAUGUGACAGUUAAUUUUUUGCACAUGGAGGUCACAAUCAUUCCCACUGCUUAGAUGUCAAAUUGGAUGGCUUGGGGUGAGUCACAAAGUCCAUUUAUUUUGUGUAUAUGGACGACUUCCUAAAACGUAAAGGUCUUAUUCCUUAGACACCCUUGGAUAGAGUGGGGUUCGUACUCCAUACCAUAGAGGCCAAGGGAACUACUUAUCUGUAAUAAAGUAAUAAUAAUGGAUACUUCUCAUUAGGUUAUGCAGUCAAGGUGCUCUACAGUGUAGUAAGGGACCACAAAACGUAAAGGUAGUUCGCGGGCUCUCUUGUAGACCUAGAGAGUAUAUAAUAAAUGCUGGGAAAUAUGACACUAAUUACAAUUUAUUGGUAUCAUGUCCCAUACACCAGGGUGACGACGCAUCUAAGACAAGGUGCUGUGGAGUAUGGGGUGGACCGUACAAUGUGAUGACUUCCUAACCCACGUACAAGUCAUGUGCCUUAGACACCCUUGUAUAGAGUGGGGUCAGUACUCCAUACCUUUGAGAUCAAGAGAACUACUUAUUUGUAAUCAAAUAAUAAUAAUUGAGCUCACAAUUGCUGGUGGAAGAAGCCCAAAAUAUCAUCUCCUGAGCAGUAGGCACUUCACCACUUCCUCGGUACCUCUCCUCGAUUUUUGAUGAGAUUGCUAAAAUAUGCAGGGAUAUGAACGUCUUAUGGAAGCAUACUUGGUGGACGUCCAAUGAGUUCACUGAUCUUCUUGCAAAAGGCGGAGCUAGGGCCCAUGCUGAAGAUCCUGCCCGGUCCAUCUCCUUUUUUACAUAUCUUGUAAUCGGGCAAAUCUAUGAGCCCCAUUUUUUUGUAACUCACAGGUACAACUUUUUGUAAUCAGGUAGGUUUAAAGGCCAUUUUUUGUACAGGGUCUCUUGACCUUUUUUUUGACCCAGAGACCCGACUUGUGGGUACUCUCGAACCCCUCUUUUGUACUCUAACACCAUACAACAAUACAAAAGUGAACUUUCUCUAAAAAAAGUAAAAUAAUGGAUACUUCUUGAUAUAGUUAACAAUAUCAAAAAAAAAAUGGGUACUUCUCAUUAGCGUAAGUCAAGGUGCUCUACAGUGUAGUAAGGGACCAUGGAACGUUAAGGUAAUCUGGGUGCUCUCUUGCAAACCUAGAGAGUGUACAAUAAGUGACGGGAAAUAUGACACACUUAUUACAUAAAAGCAACGCAUAAAAGAAAAGGUGUUGUGGAGUAUGGGGUGGACCAUACAACAUGAUGACUUCCUAAACCAUGCACAGAUUAUGUGCCUUAGCCACCCUAGGAUGGAGUGGGGUCAGUACUCCAGACCUUCGAUGCCAAGAUAACUACUUCUCUGUAAUAAAAUAAUAAGAACACUAUUCGGGUUCGGGUCCAGUUCUAACUGUACCCGACCAGUACUCGACCAUACACUAAACCGUUGGAGAUAAACUAUUUUACUUUAAGCCCUAUUCGUUUGGGUGUAUUAAGGAUCAUUUAUAAUAAGAACUCGUUAUCAUCUUUAGCUAUUAAACGACAAAUCAGACGGCUUGAAAUCUGGUACUUGGACCUGAAAACUAUUCGGGUCUGGAUCCGGUGUCAGCCGGACCCGACCAAACUUGGGACUCGUUGGGGUAGACUCGGGACCCAAUGGGUACGGGUGUGACGUGUUGGGUCCAGGUCCAAAAUUUGGACUCGAAAACUUUUCGAGUCUGGGUUUGGUUCCAGCUGAAUCCGACCAGUUCGGGUCCGACGCGGUAGACUUGGGACUUGAUGGAUACGUGUAUGACGUGUCGGGUCGGGGCCAAAACUUGAACUCAAAAUCUAUUCAGGUCUAGGUCCUGUUCCAGCCGGACCUGACUAGACUCGGUACCCAACGGGAUAGUCCCGAGACUCGAUGGGUACAAAUAUGAUGUGUCGGGACCAGUUCCAAAACUUGGACUUGAAAACUAUUCGGGUCUGGGUCUGGUUUCAGCCAGACCUGACUAGACCCGGGACCUAACGAGGUAGACCUAGGACCCGAUGGGUAUGGGUAUGACGUGUCGGGUCUAGGUCCAAAACUUGGACUCGAAAACUAUCUGGGUCUGGGUCCGGUUCUAGUCGGACCCGACCAGACCCAGGACCCAAUGCGGUAGACCCCAAACGUGAUGUGUACGGGUAUGACGUGUCGGGUCCGGUUCCAAAACUUGGACUAAAAAACUAUUCGGGUCUGGGUCCGAUUCCUACCUGACCUGACUAAACCUGGUACCCGACGGGGUAGACUGGGACCCGAUGGGUAUGGGUGUGACAUGUUGGAUAUGGGUAGAAAACAUGGACUAGAAAACUAUUCAGGUCUGGGUCCAAUUCUAGUCGGACCCGACCAGACCCGGUACCGGACAGGGUAGAUCUGGGACUCGAUGGGUACUGGUAUGAUGUGUCGGGUUUGGGUCCAAAACUUGAACUCGAAAAUUAUUUGGGUUUGGGUUUGGUUCCAGUCGGACCCGACCAGGCCUGGCUAGACCCUACCCAAAAACUAUUCGGGUUUGGGCCCAUAAAAUAUACUUUUGUUUGGGUCCGGUCUACCUCUCAGAAGACACCACUAUGUUCCAGUGUUUACACCACUAUGUUCCUGUGUAUAGUUCUGUUGUAUCUUGUAUAUACAAUUAUUAGAAGUCUAUAAUCCCCGCCGUCAUGGAAGAUUCAAUAUAUCCCCUUUUUAUCAUGCCACUCUCAAAAUCUGUUAAUGAGUAUCCUUUGCAUUAAACCCCUCAAUGUCGUCAUUCUCCCUCACGUGUAUUUCUUCCCAUAACAGCCACUCAAUCACCCACCGCCUCUUUCCUUCUUCCUCUCUCUCUAAUGGAACACUGCCUCUAAUAAACACCCUCUACCUUUGUCCUCUAUCUAAAAAACAUCGUCCCAAUUUCUUCCCGUAUCUCCUUUUACCUCUCACAAAACCCACCAUAUCUAUUGUCUCCCCUUCCUCAACUCUGCUCUGCGUGAACAGUGAAAGAGGCCUCCAUUUCCCCUCUUCCUGUCACCCCCCUCCCUCAUCUUAUUCCAAGCACCAUCUCCGUCCCCUUCUCGAACCAUCACAAAUUAUCUAAGAUUUACAGAUGAGUUGCUGGCUGAAGCAACAACAACAACACAUCAACAAGGUCUGUUUUCAAUCAGGCUCACACUGAUCAUUGAACAUUGGUAGAAAAAAGAGGAUAGGCUUGGGUAGCUUAUCUACCACUGUUUCUUUGACGAAGAUUGUGAUAGAGGGUUUGCUUUUGAAUAGUAAAAAAGGAUUAAUGGAAGACAUAAGCCAAAUUUUGAUGAAAAUUCCCUGACAUUUGGUCCUGUAUCCUUCUUUUGUUGAGUGUCCUUCUCUAGUAUUCAAGUUUCAGCAUGUGACACACUUGUCGCCUUUUCUUAGAGAAACUGGCGAAUGUUUUCUUGUUGGCUGUCAUCACUCUGGCUGGAACUUUCAAAAUUUCCGACACUGAAAGAUAACAUGAAAGACAAAGCUAUUUUUCUUCUUAAACUGAUUUACAUGGUUUAGCAUGAGAUUUUAUGA